UAAGGAAUAUUGGUCAAUGGACGCAAGUCUGAACCAGCCAUGCCGCGUGAAGGAUGAAGGUCCUCUGGAUUGCAAACUUCUUUUAUCUGGGACGAAAACGGGAUUUUUAUCUCAAUUGACGGUACCAGAGGAAUAAGCACCGGCUAACUCCGUGCCAGCAGCCGCGGUAAUACGGAGGGUGCGAGCGUUAUCCGGAUUUACUGGGUUUAAAGGGUGCGUAGGUGGGCUUAUAAGUCAGUGGUGAAAUCUCCGAGCUUAACUUGGAAACUGCCGUUGAUACUAUAGGUCUUGAAUUAUCUGGAGGUAAGCGGAAUAUGUCAUGUAGCGGUGAAAUGCUUAGAUAUGACAUAGAACACCAAUUGCGAAGGCAGCUUACUACAUAUAAAUUGACGCUGAGGCACGAAAGCGUGGGGAUCAAACA
rnacentral:rRNA from 1 species